UAAUAGACUACCCGGUAGUCCACGCCCUAAACCGAUGCGAACUGGAUGUUGGGUACAUUACGGUACUCAGUGUCGAAGCUAACGCGUUAAGUUCGCCGCCUGGGGAGUACGGUCGCAAGACUGAAACUCAAAGGAAUUGACGGGGGCCCGCACAAGCGGUGGAGUAUGUGGUUUAAUUCGAUGCAACGCGAAGAACCUUACCUGGCCUUGACAUCUGUCGAAUCCUGCAGAGAUGCGGGAGUGCCGCAAGGAACGACAAGACAGGUGCUGCAUGGCUGUCGUCAGCUCGUGUCGUGAGAUGUUGGGUUAAGUCCCGCAACGAGCGCAACCCUUGUCCUUAGUUGCCAGCACGUAAUGGUGGGAACUCUAAGGAGACUGCCGGUGACAAACCGGAGGAAGGUGGGAUGACGUCAAGUCCUCAUGGCCCUUACGGCCAGGGCUACACACGUACUACAAUGGUCGGUACAGAGGGUUGCGAAGCCGCGAGGUGGAGCCAAUCCCGAGAAAAACCGAUCCCAGUCCGGAUUGGAGUCUGCAACUCG
rnacentral:rRNA from 1 species